GCUUAUCACCAUUCCAGAUUGAAUAUACCCGAGCUCGUCUGAUCUCGGAAGUCAAGCAAUCUCGGGCUUGGUUAGACCGCUUGGGAUUACCAAAUGUGAUAAGCA
rfam:Ciona savignyi cont_62154, whole genome shotgun sequence.